UUCUACCGCACGACAUCGCCGCCAGCGCCGAUCACCGCAGCCGAUCCCGUCCCGCAGCCUCCACCGACGGUUUCAUCUAAGUGAUUCCUAGUGACAGAGAAUAGAAUGUGGACAAUGGAUGAUAUAGGUUACGAGGUGCCAUGAACCCUUUAAAACCAUCAAGAUUGUGGAAUUUGCAGGAUAUUCUGUAUGGGGUCCUGGGCACUCCGGCCCCCACCUUCCUGGACGAGAGCAAGUGACGGCCUGCUUAGCCAAUCACAGACCACCGCUAUUUCUCACCUCAGCCAGUGAUUGGAAUUUGUCAUUAGAAAAUUACCCAUUAAACUUUAGUUUUUAUGGUAAAUGUAUUUAAGAUUGUGUGUGUUUUUACUCUAUAUUACAAAAUACCACACAACGUGUCCACAAAAUAUUCCAAUUCUACUGAAUACAGUCUGUUUAAUUGUCCAUGGGGAUUAAGGUGAAUAAUCUAGCUAAAUAAACUUAAAAAAUGCUUCCUUCACAAUGUACAUAAAAUUAAACAGAUCAUUUGAAAUCAGAUAGAAACAUUUUUAAAAAAAGCAUAUAAAAAUCUAGUCAAUACAUUCACUUUUAUGUUGGUGUGGCUAAAGUCACCACGUAUAGUCAGCUGUGAAGGAAAAUAUUAAUGUGCCCGCACUGUCAGUCUGCAGGAUUUCUUUUUAUGUUUCUCAACAAAUCUCAUCCAUAUGCUCCAAAUUUUUUCAGUACAAAUAUUGGCCUGUGGUGCAGAUUUUUAAAGCCAUCGCAUGUCAGUUUCUGUUGCAGGUUUUAAAAGUGACAACAUGUAGAACCCAGAGUCUCAUUUUCACAUUUAACACACAUUUUGCUGUGGAUGUGCAGUGGAGAAAUCUGCCACAUGUGGACUAGUAAACUGUCAAUUGGCAUAGGAGGGCAUGUAAACCCCACAGCUCACGAAUAUUGUGCACUCCAAGUUGACAGUUAGGCCAGAACACAAUUGUUCCACAAGAAAACACACACAUGGCUGCAAGUCAGUGUGUCAGACAUGACUGCAUUCUACAUUCUAAAUUUUUGAGUUUUCCCUUUUUAAUAUCCAUUGGGGAUAUUUUUUUAUUGUUACAUUGGUAAGAGAGUUCAGGAUUAGAGAUGAGCGAACUUACAGUAAAUUCGAUUCAUCACGAACUUCUCGG